rnacentral:rRNA from 1 species
GUGGCGGACGGGUGAGUAACGCGUGAGAAUCUGGCUCCAGGUCGGGGACAACAGUUGGAAACGACUGCUAAUACCGGAUGUGCCGAGAGGUGAAAGAUUUAUUGCCUGGAGAUGAGCUCGCGUCUGAUUAGCUAGUUGGUGUGGUAAGAGCGCACCAAGGCGACGAUCAGUAGCUGGUCUGAGAGGAUGAUCAGCCACACUGGGACUGAGACACGGCCCAGACUCCUACGGGAGGCAGCAGUGGGGAAUUUUCCGCAAUGGGCGAAAGCCUGACGGAGCAAUACCGCGUGAGGGAGGAAGGCUCUUGGGUUGUAAACCUCUUUUCUCAGGGAAUAAAAAAAUGAAGGUACCUGAGGAAUAAGCAUCGGCUAACUCCGUGCCAGCAGCCGCGGUAAUACGGAGGAUGCAAGCGUUAUCCGGAAUGAUUGGGCGUAAAGGGUCCGCAGGUGGCAAUGUAAGUCUGCUGUCAAAGAAUGAGGCUUAACCUCAUCAAGGCAGUGGAAACUACAUAGCUAGAGUACGGUCGGGGUAGAAGGAAUUCCUGGUGUAGCGGUGAAAUGCGUAGAGAUCAGGAAGAACACCGGUGGCGAAAGCGUUCUGCUARACCUGUACUGACACUGAGGGACGAAAGCUAGGGGAGCGAAUGGGAUUAGAUACCCCAGUAGUCCUAGCCGUAAACRAUGGAUACUAGGCGUGGCUUGUAUCGACCCGAGCCGUGCCGGAGCCAACGCGUUAAGUAUCCCGCCUGGGGAGUACGCACGCAAGUGUGAAACUCAAAGGA